rnacentral:rRNA from 1 species
UUUUUGGUGAUCCCUGCCGGACCCGACUGCUAUCAGAGUGGGACUAAGCCAUGCGAGUCAACGUAGCAAUGCGUGGCGAACGGCUCAGUAACACGUAGUCAACAUGCCCAGGGGACGUGGAUAACCUCGGGAAACUGAGAUUAAACCGCGAUAGGUCAAGAUUUCUGGAAUGGAUCGUGUCUUAAAUCUACAUGGCCCCUGGAUUGGACUGCGGCCGAUCAGGCUGUUGGUGAGGUAAUGGCCCACCAAACCUAUAACCGGUACGGGCUCUGAGAGGAGAAGCCCGGAGAUGGGCACUGAGACAAGGGCCCAGGCCCUAUGGGGCGCAGCAGGCGCGAAACCUCUGCAAUGGGCGAAAGCCUGACAGGGUUACUCUGAGUGAUUUCCGCUAAGGAGAUCUUUUGGCAGCUCUAAAAAUGGUGCAGAAUAAGGGGUGGGCAAGUCUGGUGUCAGCCGCCGCGGUAAUACCAGCACCCCGAGUGGUCGGGACGAUUAUUGGGCCUAAAGCAUCCGUAGCCGGUUGUGCAAGUCCUCCGUUAAAUCCAGCCGCUCAACGGAUGGGCUGCGGAGGAUACUACAGAACUAGGAGGCGGGAGAGGCAAGCGGUACUUAGUGGGUAGGGGUAAAAUCCUUUGAUCCAUUGAAGACCACCAGUGGCGAAGGCGGCUUGCCAGAACGCGCUCGACGGUGAGGGAUGAAAGCUGGGGGAGCAAACCGGAUUAGAUACCCGGGUAGUCCCAGCUGUAAACGAUGCAGACUCGGUGAUGGGCUAGCCUCGUGUCAGCCCAGUGCCGCAGGGAAGCCGUUAAGUCUGCCGCCUGGGGAGUACGGUCGCAAGACUGAAACUUAAAGGAAUUGGCGGGGGAGCACCACAAGGGGUGAAGCCUGCGGUUCAUUUGGAGUCACGCCGGGG